GGCGUCAAUGCACACGCCAUCAUUUCGGCAGUCUGCGUUAUAUGUGAAAGCAUAUACGUGACUGUCAAGUUUACCUUAAAUAAAUUAAAAUGCUCAAAAUAAGCGUAUGCUUGAAUAUCAUAUUAUGGAAUAAUGAAAUAGGACUUCGGUUCUUUUUGUUGGUUAUUGAAUCGGAGUAAUGAUUAAUAGGGAUAAUCUCGGGGGCAUUCGUAUUUCUGCGGGAGAGGUGAAAUUCUAUGAUCGCAGAAGGACGCCCUAAAGCGAAAGCAUUUGCCAAGAAUGUCUUCGUUAAUCAAGAACGAAAGUCAGAGGAUCGAAGGCGAUUAGAUACCGCCCUAGUUCUGACCGUAAACGAUACCAUCUAGCGAUCCGAUAGGGUCUAUCUAGCCUUGUCGGGGAGCUUCCCGGAAACGAAAGUCUUUCGGUUCCGGGGGUAGUAUGGUUGCAAAGCUGAAACUUAAAGAAAUUGACGGAAGGGCACCACCAGGAGUGGAGCUUGCGGCUUAAUUUGACUCAACACGGGAAAACUCACCCGGUCCGGACACCGUAAGGAUUGACAGACUGAUAGCUCUUUCUUGAUUCGGUGGUUGGUGGUGCAUGGCCGUUCUUAGUUGGUGGAGUAAUUUGUCUGGUUUAUUCCGAUAACGAGCGAGACUCUAGCCUGCUAAAUAGAACGAGGAUAAACCUUUUCAUAGGUCCUCGAUGCUUCUUAGAGGAAUUAGCGG
rnacentral:rRNA from 1 species